rnacentral:rRNA from 1 species
GUGGGGAAUCUUAGACAAUGGGGGAAACCCUGAUCUAGCCAUGCCGCGUGAGCGAUGAAGGCCUUAGGGUUGUAAAGCUCUUUCAGCUGGGAAGAUAAUGACGGUACCAGCAGAAGAAGCCCCGGCUAACUCCGUGCCAGCAGCCGCGGUAAUACGGAGGGGGCUAGCGUUGUUCGGAAUUACUGGGCGUAAAGCGCGCGUAGGCGGACCAGAAAGUUGGAGGUGAAAUCCCAGGGCUCAACCUCGGAACUGCCUUCAAAACUCCCAGUCUUGAGUUCGAGAGAGGUGAGUGGAAUUCCGAGUGUAGAGGUGAAAUUCGUAGAUAUUCGGAGGAACACCAGUGGCGAAGGCGACUCACUGGCCCGUUACUGACGCUGAGGCGCGAAAGCGUGGGGAGCAAACAGGAUUAGAAACCCGAGUAGUCC